rnacentral:tRNA from 1 species
UAGGGUGUUUUGCCUUCUUCUUGA